rnacentral:rRNA from 1 species
GACGAACGCUGGCGGCGUGCUUAACACAUGCAAGUCGAACGGUAAGGCCCUUCGGGGUACACGAGUGGCGAACGGGUGAGUAACACGUGGGUGAUCUGCCCUGCACUUCGGGAUAAGCCUGGGAAACUGGGUCUAAUACCGGAUAGGACCACUGCCUGCAUGGGUGGUGGUGGAAAGCUUUUGCGGGGUGGGAUGGGCCCGCGGCCUAUCAGCUUGUUGGUGGGGUGAUGGUCUACCAAGGCGACGACGGGUAGCCGGCCUGAGAGGGUGACCGGGCACACUGGGACUGAGAUACGGCCCAGACUCCUACGGGAGGCAGCAGUGGGGAAUAUUGCACAAUGGGCGCAAGCCUGAUGCAGCGACGCCGCGUGAGGGAUGACGGCCUUCGGGUUGUAAACCUCUUUCAGCACCGACGAAGCGCAAGUGACGGUAGGUGCAGAAGAAGGACCGGCCAACUACGUGCCAGCCGCCGCCGUAA